UCACCCCUCGAGCCCCUGUGGCUUGGCUUUGGACGGCCUGGUCAGGCGACUGACCCCUCCUAAAGACAAUGACGGCGGCCUCGCAGGACCCCCGGUACACUGAGCUUCUUAACUGAGCACGUAUCGGAUCGAGGGUUCUCGGGGCACGGUCUCCUUUUCCCCCCUCCCCUCGGGGCGGUGGGAAAAACAAUCUUUCUCA
rnacentral:misc_RNA from 2 species